GCUGGCAAGUGAUGAAUAGAUAUCCUACACUCUCAAUGGGAACUUCCCAUGUGUGGAUCAAUAAUCUCCGCUUAUUUUCUGAUGCCUUU